rnacentral:rRNA from 1 species
GACAGAGGGGGCAAGCGUUGCUCGGAAUUACUGGGCGUAAAGGGCGCGUAGGCGGAAUGGCAAGUCGGUCGUGAAAUCCUUCGGCUCAACCGAAGAACGUCGAUCGAAACUGCCGUUCUUGAGGAUUGCAGAGGAGACUGGAAUUCCCGGUGCAGCGGUGAAAUGUGUAGAGAUCGGGAGGAACACCGGUGGCGAAGGCGGGUCUCUGGGCAUCUCCUGACGCUGAGGCGCGAAAGCGUGGGGAGCAAACGGG